UAGCUACUCUCUCCGUCCCAAAUUACUUGUCGUAGGUAUGGAUAUAUCUAGAUGUAUUUUAGUUCUAGAUACAUUUAUUUCUGCGACGAUUAAUUUAGGACGGAGGAAGUAGAUG
rnacentral:pre_miRNA from 1 species